CCUGGGAGAGUUUGCCCUUUAAAAACAUUAUUUGGGCAUAUUGGAAUUUAUUGCACUGAUUCCCCUUUGAUUCCAUGGGAGAAUGUGCCUCUUUCCCUUCCCCUUUUCCUGUCUAUUGUUCUCCAGCAGGGCGUUGUCCCAGGGACCCUGCCAGACCAGUUUCAACUGGCUGCUUUGUCCCAACUCAAUCUCUCAUCAGCCCUUGCAAAACUUUAACCCCAUGGCAAAUUU